rnacentral:rRNA from 1 species
GAUGAACGCUGGCGGCGUGCCUAAUACAUGCAAGUCGAGCGAACAGACGAGGAGCUUGCUCCUCUGACGUUAGCGGCGGACGGGUGAGUAACACGUGGAUAACCUACCUAUAAGACUGGGAUAACUUCGGGAAACCGGAGCUAAUACCGGAUAAUAUAUUGAACCGCAUGGUUCAAUAGUGAAAGACGGUUUUGCUGUCACUUAUAGAUGGAUACGCGCCGCAUUAGCUAGUUGGUAAGGUAACGGCUUACCAAGGCAACGAUGCGUAGCCGACCUGAGAGGGUGGUCGGCCACACUGGAAGUGAGGCACGGUCGAGACUCCGAGGGGAGGCAGCAGUAGGGAAUCUUCCGCAAUGGGCGAAAGCGUGACGGAGCAACGCCGCGUGAGUGAUGAAGGUCUUCGGAUCGUAGAGCUCUGUUAGUAGGGGAGAACUAAUGUGUAAGUAACUAUGCACGUCUUGACGGUACCUAAUCAGAAAGCCACGGCUAACUACGUG